rnacentral:tRNA from 1 species
GCUCCCGUAGCUCAGCCGGUCAGAGCAAGACGCUUAUAACGUCGAGGUCGCGGGUUCAAGCCCCGCCGGGAGCU